rnacentral:rRNA from 1 species
UACGUAGGUGGCAAGCGUUGUCCGGAUUUAUUGGGUUUAAAGGGUGCGUAGGCGGCCCUGUAAGUCAGUGCUGAAAUAUCCCAGCUUAACUGGGAGGGUGGCAUUGAUACUGCGGGGCUAGAGUACAGAUGAGGUGGGCGGAAUUGACGGUGUAGCGGUGAAAUGCUUAGAUAUCGUCAAGAACACCUAUAGCGAAGGCAGCUUACUAGGCUGUAACUGACGCUGAGGCACGAAAGUGUGGGGAUCAAACAGG